rnacentral:piRNA from 1 species
UGAUAUUUUUUCUCUUUGGAAUGUCUUUC